UUUUUUCAUGAAUGGGAGUGGACAAAUUAGUUUUUUGACUUUUGUAUUGUUUUUAGUUUAAUCAAAACUGGUACGGACAAGGGGAAUUUGGUUGUUUAAUUAAAACAAAGCAUUGUGAUUUCCCCUGCGAAUGUUGACACAAUGUGAUUUAUGCAUAGAGCUCUGUAUGUCAAAGUGAAGAAAUUCAACCAAGCACAGGUAAACGACGAGAGUAACUAUGACUCUCUUAAGGUAUCCAGAUUCCUUGUCAUCUAAUUAGUGAUGUGCAUGAAUGGAUUAAUGAGAUUUCCAUUGUCCCUAGAUACUAUUUAGAGAAACCACAGCCAAGGGAAAGAGCUUGGCAAAAUUAGCGGGGAAAGAAAAUCCCGUUGAUCUUGACUCUAGUCCGACUUUGUGAAAUGACUUGAGAGGUGUAGAAUAAGUGGGAGCCAUUUUUAGUGUAAGUGAAAUACAACUAAUUUUAUCGUUAUUUUACUUAUUCCAAGGGGCAGAGAUGGGGUAUUACACAUAUGUUCAAAUAUAACACACAUUUCCUCAAAGUGUUUUCAUUGAUGGAAAUGGUUGAGAGCUCAUUCUUUACACACUUGAUGGCAAUGAGUUUAGGAAACCAAAUAUGAUCAUUGCUUUUAAGGACGUAGAAAGUUCCUACAAUCCCUACAUUUUUAGCCAACAUCCUCAUAUAAU
rnacentral:ncRNA from 1 species